UUCCUCCUGUUCCUUUUCCAUCGGAUCUGAAAGUUAGUCUUGGUGGUCGUGAAAGGAGGAAAACUAAUACUGAAGCUGGCCUCAAUGUUGUAAUCUGGUAUAUAGCAUGUGGGCUAGUUUCAAACAGGU
ensembl:snoRNA